CCUACCCUUGACAUGUCAGGAAGUCCGCAGAGAUGUGGAUGUGCUCGAAAGAGAACCUGAACACAGGUGCUGCAUGGCUGUCGUCAGCUCGUGUCGUGAGAUGUUGGGUUAAGUCCCGCAACGAGCGCAACCCUUGUCAUUAGUUGCUACGAAGGGGCACUCUAAUGAGACUGCCGGUGACAAACCGGAGGAAGGUGGGGAUGACGUCAAGUCCUCAUGGCCCUUAUGGGUAGGGCUUCACACGUCAUACAAUGGUCGGUACAGAGGGCUGCCAACCCGCGAGGGGGAGCUAAUCCUUUAAAACCGAUCGUAGUCCGGAUUGUAGUCUGCAACUCGACUGCAUGAAGUCGGAAUCGCUAGUAAUCGCGGAUCAGAAUGUCGCGGUGAAUACGUUCCCGGGUCUUGUACACACGCAAUC
rnacentral:rRNA from 1 species